UAAAUUAGAUAACAAAAAUAAGAAAUUUUCAGGAAGAAAAGUCGUGUAUGAUUGAAUGUUUUGACUUGGACACUUUGGAAAUUUUGCAUACUUUUCAUUCAACUUUGAUACCCGAACCUUGUGAUUAUGACGAUAAUCAGUAAUUAAGAUUGAAGAGAAGGAAGCGAGGAUUAUGUUCACCCACUACAUUUUGAAAUAUUUUAAAUUUCUAACGAAAAUUACAUAUAAAAUAUAUUGUGAAACAUAAAUAGUUUAAUAAAAAGAAAUUAAGUUAUAGUGUUUUAUGCCUUUAGAUUAAAUUUUUAAAUAAAUCUAAUUAAAACCAUUCUUUAACUUGAAUUUCUUCAGUCUUACUCAGCACCAUGUUUUACAUGGAAAGUAUAAACAACGAUCAAUGUAACUCAUGUUAUUACAGAUUUAUGGGGCAUCCUGUAUGUCGUAGAAUGUAUUUUUUCACGUUUAUUAUGGUUACUAAAUGGUCGCGAGUGAAGGAUUUUCUUGCUGAUGAAUCGAUCGUGGGUUCGCGCCUGACCCAAGGGCUGUCCACGAGGAGUUUUUGAGAUGUUUUUUCACGUUAGCAUGUGGGUUCUCACCUAAAUAGAGGUCAGUUUGCCAUAAACGACCUCCCGGGAGGUACCCCUUUUUGCAAAUUUCUCAUGUGUUGCGUUGCCCAACCGUUUCAUUGUGGGCUCUUUUAAAUAAAUAAUAUAAUUAAUAAUGCAACAUUUAUUAAUUGAUAUAUUUAUUUAUAACAAUUAAAAUGUCUAGGGCCUCCUGUAUGUUGGAGUGGAAUCGUAAGAAUUCUCGACAAUUCUUUAUAAAUUAUCUACUGCACAAUUAAAUUUUAGGGGUCUUUGAAGAGUUUUAACACACUAAACAUGUGAAUGACGGACAAAGUUUUUUUAUAAACUCCUUGGGGUUGGCUUAAAUGGGGUUAGAAAGUGAGAGGGCGGAAGUCUACUACAAAGGAAAGGUUAUAAACGGGAUGAUAUUGGUUCCUACUCAACUGUAGAUUCUAUUCUAGGCAUUUUUUCCAUUUGUUUGAUGCUACUCCAAAAUUAAGAAAAUGCCUAACGAUAUGAAUGGUGUAAUGUAAUAAUUAAAUUUUAUAAUAUAAAUUUAAUAUCUUUCAUAAUCAAUUAACAGACCUCAGAAGGAUAGCGAUAGGCUUUCUUAUUUAGUAUCAGGAGUGUGUCAGUUAUCAUCUCAUAAUUUUGGAAUCUCUGCUUAUCCAAGACCUAGAUCAAAUGGUCCUGUUGCACCUUCUCUAUCUGAGCCUACUUCUAAGAUAAACAGGAUAUCUCCCCAAAAUUAUAUACACAUUUUUUCAGCUCAUAAUUGAGAGGCUUGACUCUGCAACUUACCAAACUUUAAUAUGAAAAGUUUUAUUAAUGUGGUUGUAGAGUAUAAAUGAAUAAAUCUAAGUUUGUUGAUAACCUAA